rnacentral:rRNA from 1 species
UGAGUAACCUGCCCUGGACUUUGGGAUAACCCUCGGAAACGGGGGCUAAUACCGGAUAUGACGCGCUCUCGCAUGGGGGUGUGUGGAAAGUUUUUCGGUCUGGGAUGGGCUCGCGGCCUAUCAGCUUGUUGGUGAGGUAAUGGCUCACCAAGGCGACGACGGGUAGCCGGCCUGAGAGGGUGACCGGCCACACUGGGACUGAGACACGGCCCAGACUCCUACGGGAGGCA